CCUACGGGAGGCAGCAGUGAGGAAUUUUCCGCAAUGGGCGAAAGCCUGACGGAGCAAUGCCGCGUGGAGGACGAAGGCUCGUGGGUUGUAAACUCCUUUUCUCAGAGAAGAAGCAAUGACGGUAUUUGAGGAAGAAGCAUCGGCUAACUCCGUGCCAGCAGCCGCGGUAAUACGGGGGAUGCAAGCGUUAUCCGGAAUGAUUGGGCGUAAAGCGUCUGUAGGUGGUUGGUGAAGUCUACUGUUAAAGAUUAGGGCUUAACCCUAGGAAGGCAGUAGAAACUCACUAGCUAGAGUACGGUAGGGGCAGGGGGAAUUCCCGGUGUAGCGGUGAAAUGCGGAGAUAUCGGGAAGAACACCAAUGGCGAAAGCACUCUGCUGGGCCGACACUGGCACUGAGAGACGAAAGCUAGGGGAGCAAACGGGAUUAGAUACCCCGGUAGUCCUAGCUGUAAACGAUGGAUACUAAGUGCUGGGCGGUUGUUCUAUACCCGCAAGGGGAUUGGGAUGACACUACAAAACGGCCAGUGCUGUAGCUAACGCGUGAAGUAUCCCGCCUGGGGAGUAUGCUCGCAAGAGUGAAACUCAAAGGAAUUGACGG
rnacentral:rRNA from 1 species